rnacentral:rRNA from 1 species
GAUUUCUGGUACGAUGCCCCUGAUCCGCGGCUUUCGGGCUGUGUGUGUUGGUGUGGCGUCUGCCAUCUUUUGUGAAUACUCGCCCAGGCCUUUACUGGUUUGGUGUCGACGUGUUUGCAAGUUUUACUUUGGAAUAAUAAGAUAGGACUUCGGUUCUAUUUUGUUGGUUUCUAGUACUGAAGUAAUGAUUGAUAGGGACAGUUGGGGGUGCUAGUAUUCAGCGGCCAGAGGUGAAAUUCUUGGAUUCGCUGAAGACUAACUUAUGCGAAAGCAUU